UCAGACUCCAGCUCAGAGUCCGAGCCUGAGGAGCCCCAGAACAGGAAGAAACUGCGGAUGGAGGCCAGCUAAGCCAUGCGGGGCAGGCCAGCGAGAAACUGUCUGCUCACCCGUUGCAGCCUCCUUCAGUUCAUCACUAGAACCCUCAGAACCAUUGAGAAGACUCUUUUCCUUUUCUCUCUAUUAAUUGUUAUUUUGCAUAGAAGCUCUUGGACAACAGCUCUCACCCCCUGCCCUGUGUCCACUAUUUUUAAACGUAUGCCCUUCAGGGGUUCCUGUCCCCACCAGAAAUUUUAAACCAAAACACCCUAACUUGGCAGCUCUUUCUGUGGAGGACAGACGGCCGGCCAGACCUCUGAGUACAUGGUGUCCU
rnacentral:lncRNA from 1 species